GAUAGUCUCUAACUGGCAAAGGGACACAACAGAUGCUUUUCAAUUCUAUUAAACUCCGUGUAUCAAAUUCUGCUCCUCAACGUGGUGCCAAUAGCCUGGAACUGAAAGUAAACCAUUUUGCUAUGCCUUUUCUGACUGCUCAUAUAGACCUUCUACUUAUAUUUUAAUACAGUCAGAAGGAAAUGAAACGUGUUCAGCUCUUGAAUCCCUUCCUUGUAAGAGUUCUCCUAUUCAGAGGAAACUGGGACGCCAUUUAGAUAAGCAGCCAAAUGCUCACAAUGUUUUCUCAGCAAACUUUCUAUCAGUAUUUGGAAAGUUCCCACUUACCAAUUUAAACUAAAGAACGUCGGAAUGAACUGAGCAGGGCAGAGGAGAGAAUUAAAAAGGCUAAUUCAGCUGUAACCACAGCUGUAGAUCUGACCCAGGAUUUAUCUUUGGAGGACUCUUCAAAUAGAUUUUCCUUAAACAAGGCUAAGGAGAAAAGUUUUAUUUCAACAUGCUCAAGUGGUAGAAUAUCACGGAUUAGUUAUUAUAUUUACUAGGUAUACAGGAACUUUGAUUUAGUAGAUGUGCUAUGGAAUCUCUUGUAUGCGAUACACUAUUGGUACACUCUUUAAUAAUUUUUAAUACUGCAAUAAAUUUUACCAACAGCAAAUGUUCCCCUUCAGCUCUUCUUUCUGUUCUUUCCCCUCACCCCUACCCCACA